rnacentral:rRNA from 1 species
UACGGAGGGAGCAAGCGUUACUCGGAAUUACUGGGCGUAAAGGGCGCGUAGGCGGGAUGGCAAGUCGGUCGUGAAAUCCCUCGGCUCAACUGAGGAUCGUCGAUCGAUACUGCCGUUCUUGAGGAUUGCAGAGGAGACUGGAAUUCCCGGUGUAGCGGUGAAAUGUGUAGAGAUCGGGAGGAACACCGGUGGCGAAGGCGGGUCUCUGGGCAAUUCCUGACGCUGAGGCGCGAAAGCGUGGGGAGCAAACGGG